rnacentral:rRNA from 1 species
ACGCACGCUGGCGGCGUGCUUCACACAUGCCAGUCGAACGCUGAAGCUCAGCUUUUGUUGGGUGGAUGAGUGGCGAACGGGUGAGUAACACGUGAGUAACCUGCCCCCUUCUUUGGGAUAACGCCCGGAAACGGGUGCUAAUACUGGAUAUUCACUGGUCUUCGCAUGGGGGUUGGUGGAAAGGGUUUUUCUGGUGGGGGAUGGGCUCGCGGCCUAUCAGCUUGUUGGUGGGGUGAUGGCCUACCAAGGCUUUGACGGGUAGCCGGCCUGAGAGGGUGACCGGUCACAUUGGGACUGAGAUACGGCCCAGACUCCUACGGGAGGCAGCAGUGGGGAAUAUUGCACAAUGGGCGCAAGCCUGAUGCAGCGACGCCGCGUGAGGGAUGGAGGCCUUCGGGUUGUGAACCUCUUUCGCUCAUGGUCAAGCCGCAACAAUGGUUGUGGUGAGGGUAGUGGGUAAAGAAGCGCCGGCUAACUACGUG